UUAAGUGACUAAGCGUACACGGUGGAUGCCUGGGCAGUCAGAGGCGAUGAAGGACGUACUAACUUGCGAUAAGCGCAGAUAAGGCAGUAAGAGCCGUUUGAGUCUGCGAUUUCCGAAUGGGGAAACCCAACUGCAUAAGCAGUUACUGUUAACUGAAUACAUAGGUUAACAGAGCAAACCGGGGGAACUGAAACAUCUAAGUACCCCGAGGAGAAGAAAUCAACCGAGAUUCCGGUAGUAGCGGCGAGCGAACCUGGAUUAGCCCUUAAGCACUCGGUGAAGUAGGUGAACAAGCUGGAAAGCUUGGCGAUACAGGGUGAUAGCCCCGUAACCGACGCUUCAUCGAGCGUGAAAUCGAGUAGGACGGGACACGUGAUAUCCUGUCUGAAUAUGGGGGGACCAUCCUCCAAGGCUAAAUACUCCUGACUGACCGAUAGUGAACCAGUACCGUGAGGGAAAGGCGAAAAGAACCCCUGUGAGGGGAGUGAAAUAGAACCUGAAACCGUGUACGUACAAGCAGUAGGAGCACCUUCGUGGUGUGACUGCGUACCUUUUGUAUAAUGGGUCAGCGACUUAUAUUCAGUGGCAAGGUUAACCGUAUAGGGGAGCCGUAGCGAAAGCGAGUCUUAACUGGGCGCUCAGUCUCUGGAUAUAGACCCGAAACCGGGUGAUCUAGCCAUGGGCAGGUUGAAGGUUGAGUAACAUCAACUGGAGGACCGAACCGACUAAUGUUGAAAAAUUAGCGGAUGACUUGUGGCUAGGGGUGAAAGGCCAAUCAAACUCGGAGAUAGCUGGUUCUCCCCGAAAGCUAUUUAGGUAGCGCCUCGGACGAAUACUACUGGGGGUAGAGCACUGUUAAGGCUAGGGGGUCAUCCCGACUUACCAACCCUUUGCAAACUCCGAAUACCAGUAAGUACUAUCCGGGAGACACACGGCGGGUGCUAACGUCCGUCGUGGAGAGGGAAACAACCCAGACCGCCAGCUAAGGUCCCAAAGUAUUGCUAAGUGGGAAACGAUGUGGGAAGGCUCAGACAGCUAGGAUGUUGGCUUAGAAGCAGCCAUCAUUUAAAGAAAGCGUAAUAGCUCACUAGUCGAGUCGGCCUGCGCGGAAGAUGUAACGGGGCUAAGCAAUACACCGAAGCUGCGGCAAUGUCUUUUAGACAUUGGGUAGGGGAGCGUUCUGUAAGCCGUUGAAGGUGAAUCGUAAGGUUUGCUGGAGGUAUCAGAAGUGCGAAUGCUGACAUGAGUAACGACAAAGGGGGUGAAAAACCUCCUCGCCGGAAGACCAAGGGUUCCUGUCCAACGUUAAUCGGGGCAGGGUGAGUCGACCCCUAAGGUGAGGCCGAAAGGCGUAAUCGAUGGGAAACGGGUUAAUAUUCCCGUACUUCUGACUAUUGCGAUGGGGGGACGGAGAAGGCUAGGUGGGCCAGGCGACGGUUGUCCUGGUUCAAGUGCGUAGGCUUGAGAGUUAGGUAAAUCCGGCUCUCUCUAAGGCUGAGACACGACGUCGAGCUACUACGGUAGUGAAGUCAUUGAUGCCAUGCUUCCAGGAAAAGCCUCUAAGCUUCAGAUAGUCAGGAAUCGUACCCCAAACCGACACAGGUGGUCGGGUAGAGAAUACCAAGGCGCUUGAGAGAACUCGGGUGAAGGAACUAGGCAAAAUGGUACCGUAACUUCGGGAGAAGGUACGCUCUUGAUGGUGAAGUCCCUCGCGGAUGGAGCUGACGAGAGUCGCAGAUACCAGGUGGCUGCAACUGUUUAUUAAAAACACAGCACUGUGCAAAAUCGCAAGAUGACGUAUACGGUGUGACGCCUGCCCGGUGCCGGAAGGUUAAUUGAUGGGGUUAGCGCAAGCGAAGCUCUUGAUCGAAGCCCCGGUAAACGGCGGCCGUAACUAUAACGGUCCUAAGGUAGCGAAAUUCCUUGUCGGGUAAGUUCCGACCUGCACGAAUGGCGUAAUGAUGGCCACGCUGUCUCCACCCGAGACUCAGUGAAAUUGAAAUCGCUGUGAAGAUGCAGUGUACCCGCGGCUAGACGGAAAGACCCCGUGAACCUUUACUACAGCUUGGCACUGAACAUUGAACCUACAUGUGUAGGAUAGGUGGGAGGCUAUGAAGACGUGACGCCAGUCGCGUUGGAGCCGUCCUUGAAAUACCACCCUUGUAUGUUUGAUGUUCUAACUUAGACCCAUUAUCUGGGUUGAGGACAGUGCCUGG
rnacentral:rRNA from 1 species